rnacentral:rRNA from 1 species
GUAGGGAAUAUUGCACAAUGGAGGAAACUCUGAUGCAGCGACGCCGCGUGAGUGAUGAAGGCCUUCGGGUCGUAAAGCUCUGUCGCAGGGGAAUAACACAAUGAAGGUACCCUGUAAGAAAGGAUCGGCUAACUUCGUGCCAGCAGCCGCGGUAAGACGAGGGAUCCUAGCGUUGUUCGGAAUCAUUGGGCGUAAAGCGGAUGUAGGUGGCUAUGUAAGUCAGAUGUGAAAGCCUGGGGCUCAACCCCAGAAGUGCAUUUGAUACUGCGUAGCUUAAGUGUCGGAGAGGUUACUAGAAUUGUUGGUGUAGUGGUGAAAUACGUAGAUAUCAACAGGAAUACCGGAGGCGAAGGCGGGUAACUGGCCGAACACUGACACUGAGAUCCGAAAGCGUGGGGAUCAAACAGGAUUAGAAACCCUGGUAGUCC